GGUCAGGAUAGCUCAGUGGGUAGAGCAAGGACUGAAAU
rnacentral:tRNA from 1 species